CAGGAAAGUUGACAUUCACAGAGGGAGAGUCUCAAGCCUGAACUUUGAGAAGCGGCUAGGCAAAGUCUUAUCUCCCAGUUCAUUUCCUGAACAUGAUCCAACUACCAAGAGUGGGCUGAGAUGAACAUUGUAAAAGGCAGGUGCCGUCCCCCUGUCAGCUUGAUCUCAGGGCAUUUGGAAGAACAUGAACCCUCCUCUGGAUGGGGCAUAAGUGAGAUAAGAAGCAGGACCAUGCAGAAGGGAUUUCUGUCUUUGCUGGGUAUAUAACUAUAUAUCCUGGGCAGGGUAUCUGUUCAUGGAAGUGUGAUGUUUCACAAUUGAUUGUUAGAAAGACCAAGCUGUCUGAGAUCUCAACUAUACAGAUGACUCCAGGCCUCUUUCUAAUUACUGGGAUUUGCAGGAAAUCCUUUAUACUUUUCCAUCUAGAUCUACUGCCUCAUCUCUGGAUUCAUGUGAGCAAUCACACUCAAUGAGUAUCUCACCCCUCUCUCUAUACCACCUCUCUACUCAGAUUUCUUUACCCCCAAUACUGUCAUCUAUGUUCUUAAAAUAGUUUUUAUAUCAGUUUAGAGGACAUGCCUUGCUCCCAAAUUCCAGGAUGUACUCAACUUUUUGGUCUUCACAAGACUCUAUUUAGAAAUAAAGUUGACAAUCACAUUUAUUUGCUUAAAGCUUCAAAAUCUGAAAUGGCACAGAUCACCCAAAAGUUUCAUAAGUCCUAGGCUGCAAGGAUUAUGCUUUGGUGGACAAAAUCCAGAGAUUUGGUUGGAGAACAUGCACUCCAUGCUGACCAUGACCUGGCUUCUCUUUAUAGCGAUGUCAUGAUAAGAAAUGUGAGGUUUGGGUAUAACAAAGCUGUAUGAUGCAACAACUCUUGAUUCUCUCCCCUUGCCUGCCCUUCUCAUGUCCUCCUAAUGGAUCUUGUACCCAAAGCUAGCAGUGCCACCUCUUCAAGAGCAUGUGGAUUGGAACAGGUGGUGCCAAAACUAGGCGUUUGGAUUUGUUUACUGGUUGAAGCACCACAGCAGUGAUCUACAUCAUGUUCUACUCCAUGAUUGUAUGCCUGGUUUGUGUCUGUGUGUGUGUGUGUGUGUGUUGUCUCACUCAUGAUGCCUCUCCAUAGCCAACACUGAACUCUGACUUGCCACUACAUUUUCCUCAGUCAAUGAUUUCAAGGGUUGGGUCAUCCUACUCUUUCCAUGAAUUGCUUGCUUUCAAUAUCUGAGAGCUCACCUGGUCUUAGUGGCUCCAACCAGACCUGUCCAGAGCUAGUCACAUCUUCACUCAUAAACUCAUAGCUUGAGUUAGCUCUACUGACACUCUGGUGAAAUCUUCAUAACUAACAAUGUGACUUUUCUUUGAGCCACCAAUCUCUACAAGUCUGAGGAUCUUCCCUGGGUGAUUGUUCACUUCAGAGGUCUCAUCCCUACUACUCCUCAUUGUCCUGACCUAAUUUCUAAGCAUCCUUUCUUUCUCAAAUAAUUGAUUAUGAAUCUUAAGGAGGGAAAAUCCAACCCUGGACAGUACAUGCAAAGUGAGCUUUCAACUUCACUUAGAUAAAGUUUCUAAUGAAGCAGAGGCCUAGAUUUCUGACUUUGAAAGGAGGAUUAUAACUAAUGGCUUCCAUUGUGACCCCAGAGGCCCCUGAAAAUGGCACCUUGGUUUCAAGUCACUUUUGGGUGAGGUAUGAGACAGGGAUGUAACAACUAUACCAUGUGACAUCAGCACAUGGACAUUCUACUGUAUCCUGGAGAGCCCUGGCAUUCCAUGUGAUGUCACCAGUGUUGUGGCAACACCAACUGUCAUUGGGGCAUUUGUGCAGUGUCUCACGUUUCACCUACAGACAUGCUGACUAGACUGAACAGGAUUCUUGGGAGACAGGAUGGCGAGCACAGGGAGACCAAAGGGAGGCAGAAGGAAGAUGCCCUUCAGUCUCCAUGUCACACAUCAAGAAAUAAAUGGUUCUGGGGAAAGCGCAGUGAGUCCUGGGAAAGGGAUGGGGAGCUUCCUGAAGGAGGAAGGCUUCAGCUGAUCCUUCUAGGAGUGGGGCUAAGGGGGUGAGAGUUUCUGAGAAGCCAUGGGCCUAUCCUAGUCCUCUGAGUUCUUCAAGAGCAGAACAAAGUUGUGGAUUUUUCAAGGUUAGUUUGGCAGAGAGCCAGGAAUGGUCAAGGCUGCAGCUGCUCUGUUGAGGGCCCUCUGCUUUCACUCUGAGUGGGAAGGAAGCACAGAGGGACUAAAGAGGUUUCAGUACCAGCCCUGCACUUCACCCACACUGGAUGUCUUUUGGUGUGUGUCACUAAUAACAAGGAGAGUAAAGUCCUCUGGCCAGAGCUAGAGGUUCUCACAGUUUAAAUAACAACCACUAGCAGGGCAGGAGCCACCAAGUAUUGCUGCAUGUCAGUGACCCCUAAGGUUUCUGAGUUCCUUUCCUCUCACUCGCCAGUCAUCUUCCCUCUACCUGAGUGCAAACUGGGACAUCACUCUUCCUGUAAGUAUUUGUUCUUGGUGUCAGAGGGCUCACCUGUGGAUGCCAAGUCCUUAGGUAUUUUCAGUCAUACCUUUCAAUAAUUGAUAACUCCUUUGCUAACAUCAUGAUGGUUAGAAUGUAUUCUGCUGAAGUUUUGGCAAAAGUUUCAUCAUUACCUAUAUGACUUAUCAUUGUUCUGACAGGACCCAUAUAAUCCUUCACCACCCCCAUACAUUGUAACAGCCCCGUGGAUCUUCUCCAAUGUGCUUGUUCACCUUGUGGAACUGAUCUUCCUUCCUCAUUAUCCUGAGCUAAUUUCUUAGUAUCCUUUAUUUCUCAUCUUAUUAUUUAGCAUUCUUCAGUAUGAGAAGAGCCAUUCCUGGCCAGUGUUUGGAAAUUGAGUCUUGCCCUCCAUACAUGAUGAACUAUUGAAUUAGAAUGAACUAGAUUCUAAUGAAUCAUUGAGAUCUCUGGAUUGAAAUGACGAGGUGCUCAAGGCCCUGCUCUGUCUCAGGGAAGGCUGCUGGAAAGAGGAGCUUGGCUUUUGGUGAAUUGGGGAAGAGUUUGUUAUCAGAUAGAUGAUGACAUUAGCAGUGAUCUUAACAGUCCCUUCUCUGGAAAUUCUAUUGUAUCCUGGAGAGUCAUUGGCAUCUUCUGUGAAAUCACCAGUGUUGUGGCAAUGCCAACUGCCCUUGAGGCAUUUAUUAAGAGCUCACAGGUUCACCAAUUGACAUGUUGACAAAACUGAGCACACUGAUUCACAUAGAAAGCACUGGUUUUCUAAACAGGAGUUGAUGCCACAAUUGGUCCUUCUCUUAAUGGGGUGCAGUAGCUGUGAACAUCUGAAGCAAUGGCCCUAUGCAGCUUACCUGGGUUGCUAAAGAGCAGAUUCAAAGUGGAGGAUUUCUGAGGGCAGAGGGCCAGGAAAUGUCAGGGAUGCAGCUGCUGUGCUGGGACCUUUUCCAGUUCAUUAUGAUUGGCAAAGAAUGCUAAAGGAGGCCCAGAGGUAUCAGGUUAGGAUGUUGCUGCACUUCAUUCUCAGUGGAUUUCUGUAGAUUUCAUGGAUAUCUGAUAUAAAUACCAGGAAGGAAAACUUUCCAUCCAUGUACCCAGGUCUGAGACAUUCAGUUGCUUUUAGUCCUGCACACAGAUUAUCAGGGCUGAGAGAUGCGAAGCACCAGGCAGUCCAGAACUUUCUUGCAUCACAUUAGGUAUCUGGUGAGAAUUCCAAACCAACAUGACUGGCCUCGCUUAUGCCUUUCAGGGACAGUGGGGCUGAAGUUGAAGUAGGGUCUGAGGCAUAUAUUUAUCCCUAGAGAUUGGAGAUAGACACAUGGCUUAUGGUCCCCAGUUUAAGAAUAUCUGCUCGGAUUUUUGAGGGCUUCACUGGGUGCCAUGCAUUUCCUCUUCCUCAGGACUCCUCUUGGGACUCCACAUGAUCUCUCUUGGCCCUAUGCCAUUCAUCUGGACAAAUUCACUUGUGUUUAUGUACCUACAGGGACUACUAGGAAGGCAUCAUCCACACCCUUCUUCCUCACUGAGCAGGAGCAACAGCUGAACCAGGUGGAUAAACUGACCCUUCAGCUACAGAUGAUGACCAAUGAGAGGAAUGAACUGCUGGAACUCCUGGCCCUUUAUAACAACAAUGAGUCGAACAACAGGCUGAUAUCUGAGCUUGAGAUGCUGAAAAUACAGCAUGAGAAGGAGAUGUCAGAUGUGAAGAAAUUCCCCAAGGAGAUUACUGAGGCAUCGUACAAGUGCAAGGAGCUGAGUGAGCAGACCAACUCCUACCGCACCCUCUACAGUCAGCUCCUGAGGGAAAGGACUCAGCUAAAGGAAAAAGUGAGCAUGUUGAAAGAGGACAACAGAAAGCUGCAGGGGGAGCAGAUUUUACUACAAGAGUCCUGUGACGAGGCAAGGAGGCUCAGUGUGGAGGCCUAUGGGAAGACCUAUGACCUCUGGACAAAGCAGCAGCAGGUUUGAAAACCUCCAGCAGGAACGGAGCAGACUACGGUCCAGGAUGAGACCCUCCUGCACAUGGAGCUGCUGAAGCAUAAACACUAUGUCCCAGGCAAGUAAUCCACCACUGAGCUCCAUCUCCAACAGCAGGGUGUUCAUGGGCACCUGUUAAGAAGACUGAGAAGGCUAGAAGCAGCCAGGACACCUUGAAGGCAUGACAUUCUACACUCCAGGUUUAAGGCCUCCUCAGAAAAUGCCACCUCUUUUCAGCUUUGAACUCACUAAUGAUGCAAAUAUCAACCUACCAUCAGGGGAUCCAGCCACAAUCUGAUCCACAUCUGUUGGCUCACUAUCCCCAGGGAAAAUUUUGUGUCAGAAAUAAGU